rnacentral:rRNA from 1 species
UACGUAGGGUGCAAGCGUUGUCCGGAAUUAUUGGGCGUAAAGAGCUCGUAGGCGGCUUGUUGCGUCGGCUGUGAAAACCCGAGGCUCAACCUCGGGCCUGCAGCCGAUACGGGCAGACUAGAGUUCGGCAGGGGAGACUGGAAUUCCUGGUGUAGCGGUGAAAUGCGCAGAUAUCAGGAGGAACACCGGUGGCGAAGGCGGGUCUCUGGGCCGAUACUGACGCUGAGGAGCGAAAGCGUGGGGAGCGAACAGG